rnacentral:lncRNA from 1 species
GGAAUUUUUCUCUCAUCUUCUCUGUGAGAACCUGGUCAAGCUCCUGGAGGGGCAUCAAGGGAGCUGGUUGGUGGCACCCCUGCCUCUUUACAGAAGACUCCAAAUGCAGCCGCACCCUUGGCCAUCACCAAGCUGUGCAGCUGGAGGUCGAAGCCUGGAAUUCUUGCCACGCUGGGUCCUCACCUACAUCCUCGCAGCCCCAGUGGGUUCAGCUCUCAACUUGUUCCAGUCCCCACUGGAAACCUGAGAAUUCAGUGAUGUAUUGGAGAAAACAAGUGCCUGCAAACUGUUUGCAGAUAUGUGGUCUUUGGUCUGAGCUACCAUAGAAAAGCUUCCCGCAAC